rnacentral:rRNA from 1 species
UGGCGGACGGGUGAGUAAUGUCUGGGGAAACUGCCUGAUGGAGGGGGAUAACUACUGGAAACGGUAGCUAAUACCGCAUAACGUCGCAAGACCAAAGAGGGGGACCUUCGGGCCUCUUGCCAUCGGAUGUGCCCAGAUAGGAUUAGCUAGUAGGUGGGGUAACGGCUCACCUAGGCGACGAUCCCUAGCUGGUCUGAGAGGAUGACCAGCCACACUGGAACUGAGACACGGUCCAG